CCAAAAUACGUCACACGGUCCGCAAUGGGCGGAUGCGAGAGUGGGUGUGACGGCGAGUGAUCGACCGCCCUCGAUGCAGCUCGCUCCCCUUCUCGGCCACCGCCCUCUUUGCUGCCGCAUGCGAUCGCUUCGCCGUCUCGGCAGCGGCGGUGGCAUCGGGGAAAACGUCCGACCUCACUUCAGCCGCUCCGCCUCUAGCCAUCUGAACCCUAAUGCAAAGAAUCAAAAGUACGAGAGGAACGCCACCAAAUAUUGGGACGAUUUCUAUAAGCGCCACCAGGGCAAGUUCUUUAAAGAUCGCCACUACCUGGAGAAGGAUUGGCGGCGAUAUUUCGCUUCUUCCGGGGAGAGCGGUCAGGCAUCUAUGGAUCCUAAGGUCGUACUAGAGGUUGGUUGCGGAGUUGGAAACACUCUCUUCCCCCUUCUGGCUGCAUUUCCUAAUGUUUUUAUUCAUGCUUGUGAUUUUUCACCUCAUGCAGUUGCUUUUGUUAAGGAAAAUGGUGCUUCUGUUUCAGACAGAUUGAAUGCUUUUAUUUGUGAUGUAACAAAGGAUGAUCUUUCCAAGAUCAUAAUGCCAUCAUCAGUUGAUGUUGUUACCAUGAUCUUUAUGUUGUCUGCAGUUUCUCCCAUGAAUAUGCCUGCAGUGUUACAGAAUGUCAGAACCAUUCUGAAACCAAGUGGCUAUGUACUUUUUCGAGACUAUGCCCUUGGGGACUUUGCUCAGAUCAAACUUGCAAAUAAAGGUCAGACGAUUAGCGAAAAUUUCUAUGUCAGAGGUGAUGGCACUUGUUCUUUCUACUUUUCUGAGGACACAUUAUCAAACUUGUUUGAAAGAACUGGUUUCAACACUCUGGACAUCAGUGUAUACUGCAGACAGAUUGUGAACCGUUCACGGGAUAUAGUGAUGGAUCGGCGCUGGAUAAGGGCCACAUUUUGCACUUAAGUUUUCUCAAGUACAAAAUGGAACAGGUUUUUUAAAGUAUAUCAAGGGAGAAAAUGUCAGGUGACAAACAUUGAAGAUGGAGCAGGUUUUUUAAAGUUUUCUGUGGUGUAUUGAUUGCUUUAGUGCUGGAUGAUUCUUGCAGACUGCAAUGCAUGCUUAGGGAAUGGAUCUUUCAAGAAGCAUAAGACCUAGUUUGACAGGUUUUGUGGUCAAACUUUGUAUGUAGUUCAUGAGCUCAAUAUUCUGAAUUAAAUUUUUUUUUUCACUUUGCCCCUGUUACCCAACAAGAGAUUAGUAGUUGGUUGAGUUUUAAAGAAGGGAAGUGGCCCAUGAAGGAAGGUUCUAUUAGUUAAUUCUGUUAUUACUAGUGUUCCUCUUUGUUCCAUGCUCACUAGAUUCUGAGGGUAUGGUGAAAAGAUUUAGAUGAUCCUCCAGGGAAUUCUUUUGGAACCUGGUAUCAUCAGUUGGGAGAGGGUUGCUACCCCCUAAGGACUCGGGGGACAACCCAUCCUUUUUGUCCCGGUGAAAUUUCUUGCCAACCCCACUGAUUAAUUACACUGAGGACCUUUAACGGGAUUCCUGACAGUUGUAAUUUUAAUUUUCACAAUUAAGUCUGGUUUUACCAUUGAAUGUGAUGGCUCACUGGAUUUCAAUUCUGAUCUUGCAGGAACAGCAUAUAUUAUCAAAUUCAGCGGAGAGGAGCAGAAUUAGCAUCUUGCGAUUAUUAUAGAAGAGAUGAAACACUACAUAUGUCAUCAAUCUUUUUAUCCGGCAAUUGAAACCCCAUCCACAAGAUAUGGAGGAGCUUGCGAGAGUGAUCCGGCUAAUUGUAAAUGUUUAGCUGUGGGGAGCACAAUAAUUCUACUUUGUUGUCAUCUGACAGUUUCUGGGAGGCGGAACACUCGUUCAGUUCGAUCCACUAAUUAUUGUGUUGACACUGAAAUAGAAAAAUAUUUAAUUUCUUGCAAAAAUCAUUUUUAUGAUGUUCUAACAAUAUCAAGCCUUUCUUUGGUAAUUAU